rnacentral:lncRNA from 10 species
CUGCGAGGGAAUAAACAGUCUCAUCAGCCCAUCUGCAGCUGUGCCUUUGCCACCUUCUGCCCCCAAGGAGGCCUUUGUACAACUGUCACCCUCAGGAACCUAUGAAAAGCAUUUUUCAUCCCAGACUUGGCCCCAGGUGGACGCACCUUUUCCCUUAUAUUUCACCUCAUGGAACUCCUCUCCCUCUGGUCCAGGGCAGGACCUUCGCACAGUCCAUUCUGCCACACAAGCACCUUUAUGAAGCCAGAAGGAAAAGCCAGGAUGCGCGUGAUGAGUAGCUAUCACAGCCAUUGGUUUUAGAGAAAUAGAGAAGAGGAAAACUUUGAAGAAAUUCUGCCCAUUAACUACAUCUGCUAAUUGAGAAAAGUCCAGUUUUCAACUGUAGCUGUGAGACUCCUCAAUCUUGCUUGGGAAAAAAUAAUGGCCUGUGAGAGGAAGGUCCCCAUCGGCUUCAGUUAAUCUAAUGUUCUAUGUUUUUACUGUAUUUCUGCUGUCCAACAAUAGUUAGCCUUACUCCACACUUCAAUGGGGUCGAAGAGCCACAGUGGCCCAUACUUCAAUGGCCUCUGAGAGCCAAAAGCACUUUCUAUAUCAUCUAGUCAAAUACCUAAUUUCCAGAUAAAGCAAGCCAGGCCUAGAGAGGUUCCAGGAUUUUCCUAAACUCACCUAGCUACUUAGUGGCCAGGCCAUGGUUAGAACCUGGGUCUCCUGGUGUACUCU